ACAGUACUUUCUCAUGCUAAAUUUCUAAUUUUUGUCGGCGAUAUAAAACUCUUCCUAAAAAUAAACUCAGUGCAUGACUGCAUUCAGGGUGGCAAUGGCGUGUAAUUUGAGGUUAAGGUGUUGCCCAAGUAUGCAUCUUGAGAAAUCGGUGAUGAUUAAAACCUGUUUGAGAACAACUACGUCUAAAACAAGGCUAUAAUAUUUAUCACAAGGUUAUCACAUGUAAAC